rnacentral:sRNA from 1 species
AUCUGGCUUUAAAUAUUAGUCAGUUUCAUGGCUAUGACUAGAUUGUUUUCUUGUAUAACUAAAUACCUGUAUAAAAUGAACUAAUGUUUUCUCUCCCCUCCCUACCCCUUCCCUAUGAACAAUGCUUUAGGUAUAUUGAAAUCUUUAAGAGCAGUAGAGCUGAAGUUAGAACUCACUAUGAUCCACCACGAAAGCUUAUGGCCAUGCAGCGGCCAGGUCCUUAUGACAGACCUGGGGCUGGUAGAGGGUAUAACAGCAUUGGCAGAGGAGCUGGCUUUGAGAGGAUGAGGCGUGGUGCUUAUGGUGGAGGCUAUGGAGGCUAUGAUGAUUACAAUGGCUAUAAUGAUGGCUAUGGAUUUGGGUCAGAUAGAUUUGGAAGAGGUAAGGUAAGAAUUGAAUUUCUCAGUUGAAGGAUGCUUACACUCUUGUCCAUCUAGACCUCAAUUACUGUUUUUCAGGAAUGUCUGAUCACAGAUACGGGGAUGGUGGCUCUACUUUCCAGAGCACAACAGGACACUGUGUACACAUGCGGGGAUUACCUUACAGAGCUACUGAGAAUGACAUUUAUAAUUUUUUUUCACCGCUCAACCCUGUGAGAGUACACAUUGAAAUUGGUCCUGAUGGCAGAGUAACUGGUGAAGCAGAUGUCGAGUUCGCAACUCAUGAAGAUGCUGUGGCAGCUAUGUCAAAAGACAAAGCAAAUAUGCGUAAGUGUGAUCGAGCAUUUGUGGGCUCUUAACAGGUGAUUGUGUGACUAACAUUUACAAUAGAGAAAUGGAAAAAUAAGGAUAUAUGAGAAGUUUCCUCUCCAGUAAUAGAUUAAUUCUUGGGGGAUGCGGGGGCAGUGUGUUGAAGGUUUGGGUUUUAAAAAUUAGUAUAACGGAUCUGUGAUAUGCACAUCUUGAAGUGUAUAUCCUUAAUUGACAAUACAGAUGAAUAUGUAAAGGCUAGAUUUUGGAGUUAAAGUAGAUCACCUAAGAGAAGUAGCUAGAAUUUCUUUGCCAAAGUAUUUGAAGUUCACAGAUCUGCUUGUUUAAAAACUUUAUAAAAGUGCUUAUCCUGUUUUGUUUCACCAACAAACAUUUUCAAACUUUUUUUUUCUCAUUUCAGAACACAGAUAUGUAGAACUCUUCUUGAAUUCUACAGCAGGAGCAAGCGGUGGUGCUUACGGUAGCCAAAUGCUAGGAGGCAUGGGUUUGUGUAAAUAUCACUUUAGUGUCUUUUUUUUAAGCUAACCUUGUAUGCCUUUUCUCUCAUUUCAGAACACAGAUAUGUAGAACUCUUCUUGAAUUCUACAGCAGGAGCAAGCGGUGGUGCUUAUGGUAGCCAAAUGAUGGGAGGCAUGGGCUUGUCAAACCAGUCCAGCUACGGGGGCCCAGCCAGCCAGCAGCUGAGUGGGGGUUACGGAGGUGGCUACGGUGGCCAGAGCAGCAUGAGUGGAUACGACCAAGUUUUACAGGAAAACUCCAGUGAUUUUCAAUCAAACAUUGCAUAGGUAACCAAGGAGCAGUGAACAGCAGCUACUACAGUAGUGGAAGCCGUGCAUCUAUGGGCGUGAACGGAAU